GGUCUCGUGGCGCAAUCGGAUAGCGCACCCCACUUCUAAUGGGGAGGCUGCAGGUUCGACCCCUGCCGGGAUCG